rfam:Meleagris gallopavo isolate NT-WF06-2002-E0010 breed Aviagen turkey brand Nicholas breeding stock chromosome 2, whole genome shotgun sequence.
UUUUUUUCAGUUACAGUGUUAACUAAAAUGG